AGUGGCGAAAGGGUGAGUAAUGGAUAGGUAACGUGCCCUGAGCUCCGGGAUAGUGUCUCCUGUACCGUAUGGUACAGGAUACCGAAAGGGGCGGUAAUACCGGAUAAUAUCACUUGUUGAUGGACAGGUGCUCAAAGAUUUAUCGGCGCAGGAGCGGCCUAUCUCCUAUCAGCUUGUUGGUGAGGUAACGGCUCACCAAGGCUAUGACGGGUAGCGGGACUGAGAGGUUGUUCCGCCACAUCGGGACUGAGACACUGCCCGGACCUCCACGGAGGGCUGCAGUAACGAAUCUUGCGCAAUGGGCGAAAGCCUGACGCAGCGACGCCGCGUGCGGGAGGAAGUCCCUCGGGAUGUAAACCGCUGUCAGGGAUAAGAAAGCCCUGCACCAAUUGGUACAGGGUUGAUCUAACCCAAAGGAAGUCACGGCUAACUUCGUGCCAGCAGCCGCGGUAAGACGAAGGUGGCAAGCGUUGUUCGGUGUUACUGGGCUUAAAGAGUGUGUAGGCGGAAAGGUAAGCACCCUGUGAAAGCCCCCGGCUUAACCGGGGAACUGCGCGGUGAACUGCCUUUCUUGAGCCAAGUAGGGGUGCACGGAACUCUUGGUGGAGCGGUGGAAUGCGUAGAUAUCAAGAGGAACGCCAGUGGUGAAAACGGUGCACUGGGCUUGUGCUGACGCUGAGACACGAAAGCGUGGGGAGCGAACGGGAUUAGAUACCCCGGUAG
rnacentral:rRNA from 1 species